GCGCCCGUAGCUCAGCUGGAUAGAGCAGUGGACUUCUAAUCCACCGGUCGCAGGUUCGAAUCCUGCCGGGCGCG
rnacentral:tRNA from 2 species